UCGACCCCUAUGACCUACUGCUCACCUCCCAAAAGCCCCACCUUCCUAAUACCAUCAACUUUGAGGUCUGAUAUACUACCUGAACAAAUGAACUUCAUCACAAAGUGAAUGAGUGAGUUGGAGUCGUUUUCUUCUGCCAAGAAAUAAGAUGAGAAGGAUUAUGAAUGACAGAAGUUAUGCUCAAGCUGCUGGAGUGGUCCACUUUAAGAAGAUCCGUCUAAAGGU